rnacentral:lncRNA from 1 species
CUGCUUUGGGGGACUCUCUUCGCAGAAGCACAGGAAGGAAGGACCACGUGGCUUUUCCCAGGCUGUGAAGGAUCCCAAUUACUGGGACACACGGUGGGAAAGCCCCGGUGUCCCUUAAACAAUGGAUAAGGAGGAAACAGGGACGGAAUGAAGUGGAAAGCUGUUCCUACGGAAGCCAUCAGUUAUGAGGUAACUUUUGACUCCCUCUGCAGCCAGCGUUUCCAGACCCAAGGGUGAAACUCAAAGUGGCCUCAGGUCCUACCCACGGAGAUGCUGCUGCUGACAUUUUUUUUUUUUUUUUUUUUAACUAAGAGAGAGAGUGAGAACGGGAGGGGAGGGGCAGAGGGAGAGAGAGAGAACCUUAAGCAGGCUCCGUGCUCAGCGUGGAGCCAGACACAGGGCUCGAUCCCACGAUCCUCAGAUCAAGACCUGAGCUGAAAUCAAGAGUUGGACGCUCAACCGACUGAGCUGCCUACGUGCCCCUGCUGACACUUUUUUAAGCCAGAAAAAAAGGUCAAAGCUGCCCUGGAACCCACCUGUGCUUCUAUGGAGGCACAGUGCUGUUUUAUACUCUGCUGGUCAAAGCGAAAUUAUUACUGUCGUCCUGCAUGUGUUUGCUAAAUAUUCUCCCCGUGAGAGAUGGACGGUGGUGAUGGCUGCACAACAAUGUGAACGUGGUCAAUGUCACCGAGCUGGAUGCUUCAGAUCGGCCAAGAUGGGUGAAUCUUGUUGUGUAUAUUUCACCAGAGUAAGAGAGAGAGAAGGAGAGAGACAGAGAGAGGCAGAGACAGAGAGAGAAAGAAAUAGGGGCGCCUGGGUGGCGCAGUCGGUUGGGCGUCCGACUUCAGCCAGGUCACGAUCUCGCGGUCCGUGAGUUCGAGCCCCUCGUCGGGCUCUGGGCUGAUGGCUCAGAGCCUGGAGCCUGUUUCCGAUUCUGUGUCUCCCUCUCUCUCUGCCCCUCCCCCGUUCAUGCUCUGUCUCUCUGUGUCCCCAAAAAAUAAAUAAACGUUGAGAGAAAGAAAUAGAAGCUGAGAGAGAGAGAGAGAGGCAGAGACAGAGGGAGGGGGGAGAGAGAAAGAGGGACAGGGAAACAGAGGGAGACAGAGAAAGACAGAGGGAGAGAGCAAGUACCGGCAGGCUUUGAAACAAGAGAGACCAGAACUGCAUGCCUUGGUCUAUCAGGCAGGGUUGUUGAGGGGUCUGGACCAGGCUCUGGCGACCAGUGAGCACUAAACACUGGUUAAUGCCGUGACUGAGCCUCAUUACCACACAGCGUUUUGGGCACCGCAGGUCAGAAAGCAGAAGCAACUUGCUCCAGUCCACAAGGCCAUCCGGCCACAGGGUCACAAAGAAUCCCCUAAGCCUGGUUCAGUCCUUACCUCGUGAAGUGACUACACACUAGGAACCGAGAUUCCAAACCACCUGCCCCCACAAGGGCUGUUUGGGCACAAAACUCAGCCCUGAGGAGGAGCCAUGUCUCCACUAGCGUCCCUCUUCCUCUCCCCUGCCAGGGCCCAGGGGCCAGGAGACAGAGGCAGGGGGAGGAGAGGACUACCAGGGGGAGUAUGCAGCAGACUGGGGUCUGGAACAAUAAGAAGAAAGGACUCCUCUCCGUUUCCAAACGGCACUUGCGAAGGGGAACGGAAGGCACACAACAAGGUCCUCACCGGAGCAGCGGAAAUCCGGCGGUUCUUGCCAGGUGUCGUAUUUUUUCGGUUGGCAUAGCGGGAGGCAUAGGUUCGGGGCGGCACCUGAGGGGGCAUGGUCUUGCUCCGGGCCACGGGUUUUCCGGGAGUGUCCUUGCUGAAGUCCAGGGGCCCCCGGCCCUCCUUCCAGCCCCUGGUGGUGUCACGCAACAUUUCUGCAUCGUAGGUUGACUUCAGGUUGAGCCGUGUAAUCGCAUC